rnacentral:rRNA from 1 species
ACGCUCGACACCUACGGGUGGCAGCAGUCGGGAAUAUUGCGCAAUGGAGGAAACUCUGACGCAGUGACGCCGCGUGCAGGAAGAAGGUUUUCGGAUUGUAAACUGCUUUAGACAGGGAAGAACAAAUGACAGUACCUGUAGAAUAAGCUCCGGCUAACUACGUGCCACAGCCGCGGUAAUCUGAGCGGGCUGGCAAGGC